rnacentral:hammerhead_ribozyme from 1 species
AUUCAGCUGACAAGUCCCGAAUAUGACGAAACGCGCGUCCUGGAU